GAUGAACGCUGGCGGCGUGCCUAAUACAUGCAAGUCGAGCGAACGGACGAGAAGCUUGCUUCUCUUAUGUUAUCGGCUGACGGGUGAUUAACACGUUUAUAACCUACCUUUAUUACUUGUAUAACUUCGUGAAUCCGUAGCUAAUACCGGAUAAUAUUUUGAACCGCAUGGUUCAAAAGUUAAAUACGUUCUUUCUGUCACUUAUAGAUGUAUCCUCGCUGCAUUAGCUAGUUGUUAAGGUAACGGCUUACCAAGGCAACGAUGCAUAGCCGACCUGAGAGGGUGAUCGGCCACACUGGAACUGAGACACGGUCCAGACUCCUACGGGAGGCAGCAGUAGGGAAUGUUACGCAAUGGGCGAAAGCCUGACGGAGCAACGCCGCGUGAGUGAUGAAGGUCUUCGGAUCGUAAAACUCUGUUAUUAGGGAAGAACAUAUGUGUAAGUAACUGUGCACAUCUUGACGGUACCUAAUCAGAAAGCCACGGCUAACUACGUG
rnacentral:rRNA from 1 species